rnacentral:SRP_RNA from 1 species
GCUAGGCACGGUGGUACGUGCCUGUGUUUGCAGUUACUUGGAAGAUGAGGCAGGAGUAUCCCUUGAACCCAGGGAGUUCUGGGCUGUGGUACGUUAUGCCAAUAGGGUGUCCCCAGUAAGCUCGGCAUCAAUAUGGUGAUGUCCCUGGAAAGGUGGGGGGCACCAGGUUGCCUAAGGAUGAUGGGUGAACUGGCCCAGGUCAGAAAUAGAGGAGGUCAGAAGUCCCAUGCUGAUCAGUGAUGAAAUCAUGCUUGUGAAUAGCCACUGCCAUGCAGCCUGGGCAACAUAGCAAGACCCUGUCUCU